UACGUAGGGUGCGAGCGUUAAUCGGAAUUACUGGGCGUAAAGCGUGCGCAGGCGGUUUGCUAAGCUUGAUGUGAAAGCCCCGGGCUUAACCUGGGAAUGGCAUUGAGGACUGGCAGGCUAGAGUGUGGCAGAGGGGGGUGGAAUUCCACGUGUAGCAGUGAAAUGCGUAGAGAUGUGGAGGAAUACCGAUGGCGAAGGCAGCCCCCUGGGCCAAUACUGACGCUCAUGCACGAAAGCGUGGGGAGCAAACAG
rnacentral:rRNA from 1 species